rnacentral:miRNA from 1 species
CUAUUUAGGUUGGUGCAAAAGUUAUGGUGGUUUUUGCCAUUACUUUCAUUUUUUUUGCCAUUACUUUCAAUGGCAAGAACCACAAUUACUUUUGCACCAACCUGACUGACUAGUU